rnacentral:rRNA from 1 species
CAUAUCAAUAAGCGGAGGAAAAGAAACCAACAGGGAUUGCCCUAGUAACGGCGAGUGAAGCGGCAACAGCUCAAAUUUGAAAUCUGGCUUCGGCCCGAGUUGUAAUUUGCAGAGGAAGCUUUAGGCGCGGCACCUUCUGAGUCCCCUGGAACGGGGCGCCAUAGAGGGUGAGAGCCCCGUAUAGUUGGAUGCCUAGCCUGUGUAAAGCUCCUUCGACGAGUCGAGUAGUUUGGGAAUGCUGCUCAAAAUGGGAGGUAAAUUUCUUCUAAAGCUAAAUACCGGCCAGAGACCGAUAGCGCACAAGUAGAGUGAUCGAAAGAUGAAAAGCACUUUGAAAAGAGGGUUAAAUAGCACGUGAAAUUGUUGAAAGGGAAGCGCUUGUGACCAGACUUGCGCCGGGCUGAUCAUCCGGUGUUCUCACCGGUGCACUCGGCCCGGCUCAGGCCAGCAUCGGUUCUCGCGGGGGGAUAAAGGCCCUGGGAACGUAGCUCCUCCGGGAGUGUUAUAGCCCAGGGCGCAAUGCCCUCGCGGGGACCGAGGUUCGCGCAUCUGCAAGGAUGCUGGCGUAAUGGUCAUCAGCGACCCGUCUUGAAACACGGACCAAGGAGUCAAGGUUUUGCGCGAGUGUUUGGGUGUAAAACCCGCACGCGUAAUGAAAGUGAACGUAGGUGAGAGCUUCGGCGCAUCAUCGACCGAUCCUGAUGUUUUCGGAUGGAUUUGAGUAGGAGCGUUAAGCCUUGGACCCGAAAGAUGGUGAACUAUGCUUGGAUAGGGUGAAGCCAGAGGAAACUCUGGUGGAGGCUCGCAGCGGUUCUGACGUGCAAAUCGAUCGUCAAAUCUGAGCAUGGGGGCGAAAGACUAAUCGAACCAUCUAGUAGCUGGUUACCGCCGAAGUUUCCCUCAGGAUAGCAGUGUUGUCUUCAGUUUUAUGAGGUAAAGCGAAUGAUUAGGGACUCGGGGGCGCUUUUUAGCCUUCAUCCAUUCUCAAACUUUAAAUAUGUAAGAAGCCCUUGUUACUUAAUUGAACGUGGGCAUUCGAAUGUACCAACACUAGUGGGCCAUUUUUGGU